AGUGCCCUUCCUCCAUGCUGACUCAACAGCUUCUGGCCGCCUUGCCUGGCUCUACAGUGGAGCCACCGCAUGACACAGAAUUUAUAUAAUUGGGAUUGAAAAUAUAUCCACUUAAUUCUUCCUCCUUGGGAAGCAAAACCUAUCCUAUACAUUCCCCAAAUGUGAGCUAAUGUCGAUCCCUGAGUGACUGUGAGCCUUGAAUGGAGAUUGUCACUGACCCCCGCCGACUGACUGAUCUGCUGUGGGGAGCCACGGAGAAGGCCUUUGCCUACAGAGCCGCUGUCUAAUCUCCUGUAGAAGGCCUCUCUGCACUCCCAGGUACAACCACCAUCAAACCCAAGCCUGCUGCUCAUCAAGCCAAGGACAACCACUGUGGGAUUGUGGAGCUCCCACCCUUGUCUCCUGGCCCCAGAUUCAGCCUUCAGGGGCCCAGAUUCUGUUCUCAUCUCUUCUGAGACUUCUGUGGCACCUGGAUGUCCAAGAGCUUGGGAACAGACCUAGGGACCCUGAGCCAGCUCUCGCUCCACAAAAGUGAGAUCAAUAUCAAUUAUCAAUAUCAAUAUCAUCACUCACAGGUGAAGGAACUGUAACUGGCUGAAGUUGCUCAAGGACAGGCAUGGAAAAUUGGCAUCACGCAGAUUAGGAACACAGGUAGUCUGCCCCCCAGUCAGGACCAUGCGCAUUUGGUCUGCUGCUGUGUGUCCUAGGACCGCACAGGAACUCCCACUGCAGAGAGGGGGAAUUUUAACGGUGAGAGCUUCUGUUUUUCUUGUUUCUGACUGAGAAAGAGUCCACUUAGAGCUAGUUUAGCAUCAUCUACCCUCCAGGGCUGGAGCUUCUCUGGUCCAGUGUAGUAAUUGCUUUUGCAUGUAUUAUAGCUAUUGCUUUACACGAGAAGAUAGAAUAUGCAGGCUGGGUUACUUUCCAUCACUUAAAUACCACCAAUCCUCUCUUUAUCUUCCACCUACAGGAAAAGCUUAGGUAAGUUUAUAAGGUCCUAAACACAGAUAUCCUUCAACUUUUUAAUAUUUUUAUGUUGAGAUUUUUCUCAGUCUCCUUUGUUAUAUGCACAGUGCAUGAAAAGAAUGUAAGGAACAUAAAGGUGAUCAUGACUUUACCACCAAUAAAUAUCUUAGUGACGUCCAAGCUGUUCUAGAUUACCCAUGGAUUUCAUGUCUUCAUUUUAGGGUGUGACACUUCCUUAAUGGUCAUACAUGGAUCUAUAAUGUACAAAUGAAUGUUGAACUUGAUUGGCCUUCAAGGUAUGUGAAAAAAACUACUUAUUUGUUAGAA